rfam:Brachypodium distachyon strain Bd21 chromosome 1, whole genome shotgun sequence.
CAAUUACUCCUUCCGUCCAACAAAGGAUGUCUCAACUUUGACUAAAUUUGAAUGCAUCUAUAAAAGUCAUGUCUAGAUACAUCCAAAUUUGACAAACUUGAGACAUCUUUUGUUGGACGGAGGGAGUAUAAG